rnacentral:rRNA from 1 species
UUGGCGAUAGUUCUUGCGGGUGACCAAACUAAUGGCAAUCAAGAAGAUGAUGGUCAUACUCCUACAGAAGGCAAUGUUGACGUCAACAUGGAUGAUAGCAAUGUGAGUGAUCAUGAGCCCAUAUUUAAUUCAUAUGCGGUAGAAUCUACUAGUGUUGAUGAGGAACAAGUUAGUGUGGAUAUUUAUGACCCAAGCAAUUGGGGUAAUCUUGAUAACAAAGCGAGGGACAUAUUAGUGGAAAAGGGGCCUAAAAUGGAAGAAGAAAACAAUAAAUAUCCUUUGGAUGAAAAUUCAAGACAUUUUUCGUAUAGCCAUUAUUACUCCAGAAAGAUGAGCAAUGGAGAGGUGCGUGAUAGGAAAUGGUUAGUUUUUUUCAAAACACACAAAGAAAGUGUUUCGUUUUCGCUGUAAGCUUUUCAAUUCUGA